rnacentral:lncRNA from 1 species
AUUUCCUUUUGCAUCUGCGUGCCUGUCAUUUACUGUCAAGAUAUAUUGUAAGGGUUGUUUUGGCAGAGAAGAUUCAGAGUGUGACUGACCAGCUGGUACUCUACUAUUAGCAGCACUGGAAGAAAUAUACCAUGCUUCUUCUCUACAUUCUUAUCAAGGAUGUCAAGGAGUAAAAUCUGUGAAGAAAUAAAUAUUUCAGCAUUAUGACCCAACAAACAUGAUUUGACUGAUGUUGUGAGAAAAUACU